UACGAGGGGGGCAAGCGUUGUUCGGAAUUAUUGGGCGUAAAGGGCGCGUAGGCGGUGCGGUAAGUCUGAUGUGAAAUCUCCGGGCUCAACUCGGAGUCUGCAUCAGAAACUGCCGUGCUCGAGUGUGGGAGAGGUGAGUGGAAUUCCCGGUGUAGCGGUGAGAUGCGUAGAUAUCGGGAGGAACACCUGUGGCGAAAGCGGCUCACUGGACCACAACUGACGCUGAGGCGCGAAAGCUAGGGGAGCAAACAGG
rnacentral:rRNA from 1 species